AACGAACGCUGGCGGCAUGCCUAACACAUGCAAGUCGAACGAGACCUUCGGGUCUAGUGGCGCACGGGUGCGUAACGCGUGGGAACCUGCCUUUAGGUUCGGAAUAACUCAGAGAAAUUUGAGCUAAUACCGGAUGAUGUCUUCGGACCAAAGAUUUAUCGCCUUUAGAUGGGCCCGCGUUGGAUUAGCUAGUUGGUGGGGUAAAGGCCGACCAAGGCGACGAUCCAUAGCUGGUCUGAGAGGAUGAUCAGCCACACUGGGACUGAGACACGGCCCAGACUCCUACGGGAGGCAGCAGUGGGUAAUAUUGGACAAUGGGCGAAAGCCUGAUCCAGCAAUGCCGCGUGAGUGAUGAAGGCCUUAGGGUUGUAAAGCUCUUUUACCCGAGAUGAUAAUGACAGUAUCGGGAGAAUAAGCUCCGGCUAACUCCGUG
rnacentral:rRNA from 1 species